UACGAAGGGGGCUAGCGUUGUUCGGAAUUACUGGGCGUAAAGCGCACGUAGGCGGAUUGCUAAGUCAGGGGUGAAAUCCUGGAGCUCAACUCCAGAACUGCCUUUGAUACUGGCGACCUAGAGUCCGGGAGAGGUGAGUGGAACUGCGAGUGUAGAGGUGAAAUUCGUAGAUAUUCGCAAGAACACCAGUGGCGAAGGCGGCUCACUGGCCCGGAACUGACGCUGAGACGCGAAAGCGUGGGGAG
rnacentral:rRNA from 1 species